UCGAGGGGCAGCAUGGUCUUAGCUUGCUAAGGCCGAUGGCGACCGGCGCACGGGUGAGUAACACGUAUCCAACCUGCCGUCUACUCUUGGACAGCCUUCUGAAAGGAAGAUUAAUACAAGAUGGCAUCAUGAGUCCGCAUGUUCACAUGAUUAAAGGUAUUCCGGUAGACGAUGGGGAUGCGUUCCAUUAGAUAGUAGGCGGGGUAACGGCCCACCUAGUCUUCGAUGGAUAGGGGUUCUGAGAGGAAGGUCCCCCACAUUGGAACUGAGACACGGUCCAAACUCCUACGGGAGGCAGCAGUGAGGAAUAUUGGUCAAUGGGCGAGAGCCUGAACCAGCCAAGUAGCGUGAAGGAUGACUGCCCUAUGGGUUGUAAACUUCUUUUAUAAAGGAAUAAAGUCGGGUAUGUAUACCCGUUUGCAUGUACUUUAUGAAUAAGGAUCGGCUAACUCCGUGCCAGCAGCCGCGGUAAUACGGAGGAUCCGAGCGUUAUCCGGAUUUAUUGGGUUUAAAGGGAGCGUAGAUGGAUGUUUAAGUCAGUUGUGAAAGUUUGCGGCUCAACCGUAAAAUUGCAGUUGAUACUGGAUAUCUUGAGUGCAGUUGAGGCAGGCGGAACUUCGUGGUGUAGC
rnacentral:rRNA from 1 species